GCAGUCGCGCGGAGCCCGGCUUCCGACGUGCAGCCUGGCAGUGCAGUGAGCUGUCUGGCCUUUUGUCCUUGAUCCUUGGUUAAGGAAAUGACCAACCAGUACGGUAUUCUCUUCAAACAAGAGCAAGCCCAUGAUGAUGCCAUUUGGUCAGUUGCUUGGGGGACAAACAAGAAGGAAAACUCUGAGACAGUGGUCACAGGCUCCCUAGAUGACCUGGUGAAGGUCUGGAAAUGGCGUGAUGAGAGGCUGGACCUACAGUGGAGUCUGGAGGGACAUCAGCUGGGAGUGGUGUCUGUGGACAUCAGCCACACCCUGCCCAUUGCUGCAUCCAGCUCUCUUGAUGCUCAUAUUCGUCUUUGGGACUUGGAAAAUGGCAAACAGAUAAAGUCCAUAGAUGCAGGACCUGGUAAGAGUUUUACUUGUAGGGGAGAUAAUAGAGGUUCAUGAUUUCUUUUCCAAAAUCUUUAGGGAUAGAAUGUGUUUUACAACUCGGAAUUUUUUGGAUUUGAGAGGGGUGAUAAUGUGUGCAUGAACUGUAUUUCACAUAAUACCCUCAGUGGGGCUGGAAACAGCACUGUAAUGAAACACUAAUACCUCUGCAACUAAACAUGAAUGUUUACACUAAGGGAGAUAAAUAAAGGCUAUAAAUAGCCUUAUGUCAAUUCAGGUUAGAUUUUGCUGCCAAAUGAAUUUUGGUAGUAAACCUGUAGAAAAAGCCUGUAGUUUCCAGAGCUUUUUGGAUUUCAAACUGCUGGUUUGGCGUUGUUGACCUGUAUUUUGUAUUUUCCAGAGGUUCUUUAUUUGCCAUAUUCUGAACUGAUUCAUUCACUGCCUUACGGAAACCUAGAAUGUAAAGCAUGGGGUCCUUAUAGAUCUGUAUCAUGGUCAUCUCUACUAAUUUUGAUUAAAGGGUGGGAUUCUUGGUAUGUGAUACAUGUGAAACUUUUAAG
rnacentral:sRNA from 1 species